UACGUAGGGGGGCAAGCGUUGUCCGGAUUUAUUGGGCGUAAAGAGCGUGUAGGCGGUUUGGUAGGUCCGUUGUGAAAACUCGAGGCUCAACCUCGAGACGCCGAUGGAAACCAUCAGACUAGAGUCCGGAAGAGGAGAGUGGAAUUCCUGGUGUAGCGGUGAAAUGCGCAGAUAUCAGGAAGAACACCCGUGGCUAAGGCGGCUCUCUAGUACGGUACUGACGCUGAGACGCGAAAAGCGUGGGGAGCGAACAGG
rnacentral:rRNA from 1 species